rnacentral:rRNA from 1 species
ACUCAAAGGAAUAGACGGGGGCCCGCACAAGCGGUGGAGCAUGUGGUUCAAUUCGAAGCAACGCGCAGAACCUUACCAGCCCUUGACAUGUCCCGUAUGGGUUUCAGAAAUGAGACCCUUCAGUUCGGCUGGCGGGAACACAGGUGCUGCAUGGCUGUCGUCAGCUCGUGUCGUGAGAUGUUGGGUUAAGUCCCGCAACGAGCGCAACCCUCGCCCUUAGUUGCCAUCAUUCAGUUGGGCACUCUAAGGGGACUGCCGGUGAUAAGCCGCGAGGAAGGUGGGGAUGACGUCAAGUCCUCAUGGCCCUUACGGGCUGGGCUACACACGUGCUACAAUGGCGGUGACAAUGGGAUGCAAUGGGGCAACCCUGCGCAAAUCUCCAAAAGCCGUCUCAGUUCGGAUUGGGGUCUGCAACUCGACCCCAUGAAGUCGGAAUCGCUAGUAAUCGUAGAUCAGCACGCUACGGUGAAUACGUUCCCGGGCCUUGCACACACCGCCCGU